rnacentral:tRNA from 1 species
GGGUCUGUAGCUCAGUAGGUUUAGAGCGCACCCCUGAUAAGGGUGAGGUCGGGAGUUCGAUUCUCUCCAGACCCACCA